AGGAAACGUAAAACUGCUUCGUUUGCUUGAAGUUGUUAAAAAGUGCAUUUCUGAAAUAUUAUAUCCUGUGUAGUUGUGAAAAUUUGAUUUCUUGAACAGUAUCCGCUUGUUCACUGUUAAAUGUCAGGCUAAAUCAAUUUGUUUGUUCGAGAAUAUCAUAAGAUAUUCUUUAUACAUGAAGCACGAUCAGUAUUCCAGAGGACCAAUUAUUUCCUUUGCCGUUAAGAUCACACGAGCUGUUCUGAGUUUGUUUUUUAAACGAAGAUAUACAAAAGGAAGUUUUUUUCAACACCACUAGAAAAAUCAUGGAUCCUAUACUGUGGCUAAUGAAUGAAUUCGAAUGUCGCUUAAUUAUUCGGGUAAAACUCAGGAAUCACAACUUCUACUUGGUUCUGAUCGUCCAUGUUAUGAAGCACCUAUGAAACCAUUCAAAAAAAUGGAAAAAUAUAAUCAGAGUCCUUGACCAGCUUCCUCUUACUUAGUCGAUGGCUUCCGCAAUGCAUCCAGCAGUUCGUAACUGCGACGAUAUCGUCGGUUGAGGGCCCUUCUCUUGGCUUCGGAAUCUUUGAUUGCGUCCAGAUCUUCUGGGUUUUGCUCUCGAAAUGGUUGAAUAGCCAAUGAAACAUAUCGUUACGCCAGCUCACACAUUUCUCUUUAACUCCUAAACGGUCCGAGCUGAGUUCAACACAAUUUAACACCGUCUCCAAUCAAAAAUGGUGCUGUUUUAAUCUACUAAAAUUUCAUCAUAACCAUAUGAAGCCCUUCGUAACUGAAAUUAAAAUCGACUAUACCAUAUUUUACAUUAUUUCCUUGAUAAGGUUUUCCUUUGAGAAUUCAUACAAUUACUAAUUCAGAAUACAUUAUACAAUUCUUUACACCACAGACUUUUAUUCAUUCUUCUUACAAAAUAUACCCUCGAUAUAAAUCGGU